CGCCUUCUCAUCUUCUUUGAUUGGGC
rnacentral:sRNA from 1 species